rnacentral:rRNA from 1 species
UACGGAGGGUGCAAGCGUUAAUCGGAUUUAUUGGGCGUAAAGCGCAUGUAGGCGGUUUGUUAAGUCAGACGUGAAAUCCCCGGGCUCAACCUGGGAACUGCAUCUGAUACUGGCAAGCUUGAGUCCCGUAGGGGGGGGUAGAAUUCUAGGUGUAGCGGUGAAAUGCGUAGAGAUCUGGAGGAAUACCGGUGGCGAAGGCGG